rnacentral:lncRNA from 11 species
AUGAGUUAAUGCUACAUACCUGUGCGAGAUUCUUUGCCAUAUAAACAACAGGUUGAGCCAUUUAGGCUCAUACUCGCAGUAGAAUAAAACCUGAAUGCAGAGUAUCACUGAUUGAAAAUAGAAUGCUUUUAGUGAUACAGAUAUUGGUGGAGGCCAAGGUGUCCAAUCCAACCCCUUUGCAGCCAUAAGAAGUGACUAUUUGGAUCCACCCCAAGGGAAGCUGAUACUUAAACCAACUCUUUGGAUUCUGGCUGAAGCAAAGAGAAAACUGCAAUGCAUUUAUGGCAAGUCACCUUCUCCUGAUAUUACUAGUCUU